UUUGCCUCGGCCGCCUUGUUUUAUUCCUCUGUGAAAUGGGCUGAACCCCAUGGGGAAGAUCAGAGGAGACUGGGAGGAGGUGGCCUCUCGGUGCAGAUGUGAUGGUUCCAAUAUUAAUUGUUAUCUGUGUGCUUGGGAGCAGGUCACGGCAGACCUGAAGGGGGAGGAGCCUAUGUCCCCCCACCCUCUACCCCCCCUUUGAGCACACAGCCAGUGCUCAAUAGGUGUGUGCCGAAGGGAGAGAGCCGGCGGGGAAGGAGGGGAGAGCCCUGAACUUGAGCUCAGAUGCCAUUGAGUGGCUGAGUCACCGGGGACCUGGGGCGUGUGCCUCAGCUUCCCCACCAGGUGCUGGCUGAGCGGAGACAGUCCUGGCAGACACCCGUGUGAGGACUGUACGUGGCCAGAGCCCUGGUGGCUGGGCUGAGAGGGGGCUGGGACAGAGCUGUCACUGAAACAGCGUGACACCCACGAAGGCCUGUGGCCCAGGGCCCUGGAGGCCCCCAGCGGUCCUGUCCAGGGUGGCCACAGGUCAGCCAGCGCAAGGUCAGGGCCUCCAGAGCCCUGGGCAGCCCUGACCCGAUUCCCAGGCGAGGAGCUCGGCAGGCUCUCUGGCCCAUUCUCUCCCCGCCCUGCUUGGUCAGCUCCCGCGCCCCGGGUUUUCGGAGCAGAGCUGGGAGGCGGCUGGGGCCAGCGGCCUCCCUGUGUGACCCUGGGCAAGGCGCUGUGCUCUCUGGGCUUGGCACUGCCAGGCUGGAGCUCUGGGGUCCCACGAAGCCGACUUCUCCUUCAGCAUCAGGAAGCAGAGGGUUUGGGGCUCGGGAUACUUUUAGGGGAUCGAGAGGAGUUUUAACUUCUCACGUCAGAGGGGAAGGGGAAGUGUAGAUGGAAGGAACUCUUUUGGCAUUUAAUACUGAUACGUGUGUCUUGGUACCAGUGCUGUCGUAAACUAUAAGUUUGAAUUUCGUUUUCGUCCGGGGCCUCCUCAGGCCGCAGUGAUUCUCCCGUCUGACCUCAGUUGCCACAGAGUGGGCGCCUGUAGGCCACCUUGGCCUGGGGACAUGUGGGCUGUGGAGCCAGGACUGGGGCUGGGUGGUGGACGCUGCCACCGUCCCCUCUCCUGGUUAUACCGGCUUGGUAAUAACAGCCCCUGUCUGGCGCCCCAGGUCAGGUGCGUCAGUUUACCCACCCGUGUGGCCUCCUUGUGUUUCUGGGAGGUCCCAGGGGAGCCGGCAGGGCGGGAGGGGAGGUGGCGGUUGGUGGUAGGCGGGGCAGAGUGAGCUUCCUGUCCCCCCCACACACGCAGGCCUCCCCUUGGGCUGACGGAAGCGCCAGGGCCUUGUGGCUUCGUCCCAGUGCCAGCCCCGUCCCACAGGGGCCCCCCGGCUCCCCUGUGCCCAUCUGAUGGGGAAACUGAGGCACAGAGCCGGACAGUGACCCAAACACUGGGAGCUGCCAGUGGGGAGCACAGAGCUCAGGCCUGGCCCAGCUGGCUCAGGGUACAGAUCCACUGUUACUUCCUGGCUGCAACCUUGGCAAGU